rnacentral:rRNA from 1 species
AGAACGAACGCUGGCGGCAUGCCUAAUACAUGCAAGUCGAACGAACACUUCGGUGUUAGUGGCGCACGGGUGCGUAACGCGUGGGAAUCUGCCCUUGGGUUCGGAAUAACAGUUGGAAACGACUGCUAAUACCGGAUGAUGACGAAAGUCCAAAGAUUUAUCGCCCAGGGAUGAGCCCGCGUAGGAUUAGCUAGUUGGUGAGGUAAAGGCUCACCAAGGCGACGAUCCUUAGCUGGUCUGAGAGGAUGAUCAGCCACACUGGGACUGAGACACGGCCCAGACUCCGUACGGGAGGCAAAAGCAGUAGGGAAUAUGGACAAGUGGGCGCAAGCCUGAUCCAGCAAUGCCGCGUGAGUGAGUGAAGGUCCGUUUAGGGUUAGUAAACGUC